UGGGGAAGCGGCAAACGGGGUAGUAAGGCGUCGGUACGUGCCCUCGGGACGAGGAUAGCCACGGGAAACUGUGGGUAAUACUCGAUGAUCUCGUGAGAGCAAAGGUGUGAUUCCGCCGAGGGGAGCGGCCGACGUGGUAUUAGGUAGUUGGGUGGGGUAAUCGGCCCCACCAAGCCGUGGGAUGCCUAGGGGGGUGUGAGAGCAUGGCCCCCACCAUUGGGACUGAGAUACUGCCCAGACACCUACGGGUGGCUGCAGUCGAGAAUCUUCGGCAAUGGGCGCAAGCCUGACCGAGCGACGCCGCGUGCGGGAUGAAGGCCUUCGGGUUGUAAACCGCUGUCAGAGGGGAUGAAAUCACAGUGGGUUCUCCCAUUGUGUUGACAGAGCCUCAGAGGAAGCGCGGGCUAAGUUCGUG
rnacentral:rRNA from 1 species